CACUGGUCGAGUCGGCCUGCGCGGAAGAUGUAACGGGGCUAAACCAUGCACCGAAGCUGCGGCAGCGACACUAUGUGUUGUUGGGUAGGGGAGCGUUCUGUAAGCCUGCGAAGGUGUGCUGUGAGGCAUGCUGGAGGUAUCAGAAGUGCGAAUGCUGACAUAAGUAACGAUAAAGCGGGUGAAAAGCCCGCUCGCCGGAAGACCAAGGGUUCCUGUCCAACGUUAAUCGGGGCAGGGUGAGUCGACCCCUAAGGCGAGGCCGAAAGGCGUAGUCGAUGGGAAACAGGUUAAUAUUCCUGUACUUGGUGUUACUGCGAAGGGGGGACGGAGAAGGCUAUGUUAGCCGGGCGACGGUUGUCCCGGUUUAAGCAUGUAGGCUGAUUGUCCAGGCAAAUCCGGAUAAUCAAGGCUGAGGUGUGAUGACGAGGCACUACGGUGCUGAAGUAACAAAUGCCCUGCUUCCAGGAAAAGCCUCUAAGCAUCAGGUAACAUUAAAUCGUACCCCAAACCGACACAGGUGGUCAGGUAGAGAAUACCAAGGCGCUUGAGAGAACUCGGGUGAAGGAACUAGGCAAAAUGGUGCCGUAACUUCGGGAGAAGGCACGCUGGUGUGUAGGUGAAGCCCCUGCGGGUGGAGCUGAGACCAGUCGAAGAUACCAGCUGGCUGCAACUGUUUAUUAAAAACACAGCACUGUGCAAA
rnacentral:rRNA from 1 species